CGGUAAUUAUGUGACGCUGUGUGCGUGCUGUACGUGCGUGCCCUGCGACAUCCAAUCAGCAUCCACGCUCAGUGCAGAGCGUGCACGUCAUCUGGUAAACAAGUUCUGGAGCGACGUGAACGUUAACAGACUGAAUAAGACUUUGGUUGCUGCUGCAGCAAGAAGAUGAAGAGGAUGGCUGCCACUACAUUGAUGUGAGGGACUACAAAUCUAUUCUCCACUCGUGAAAUUGGAGUACAUGAUGCUCUGCGCUGUGACUGCAUAUUAAAUAGAGGGUUCCAGUUCAUGGCAGGCUUGAACAUCAGUGGUCCCUGCAUUGUUGCUGAACAUCCAGAUGGGUUUCCUCCCAUCUGAGCAUCAUGGUUUGAGUCUUAUACCACGGUUGCAUAACUUGUACUUAUGUUACAGAGCACAAGAACUGAUGAUCUUUCUUUUUUUCACAUCCAGUCUGCUGUCAUUAAAAAUAAACACUACUUUAGUAAAUGAAAAAAACAUGUUGAGUUAACUCCUUAAGAAGUCAGACAACUGUAAAACUGAUGAUUAGCUUGACUUCUAGCUGGCACAGAAUUGGGAGUUAAGUCAAAACUAUCAUGUUGCAGUUUUUCUGUAAUAGAGUCCUGUUACAAAUGCAGCAUGCAGUCUAAACAUGGAAACCUUCUGUUCUGCAGUUAUCAGCUUUGAAAAGCCAUUCUCAGGGCUUUAUUCAACCAUUUAAAUGGCCUGUUCUGGCUCAAGGGCCACAUGUUUGAAGUGUGAUGCUAGACUGUGAAAUAAGAGGAGUUUGCCAACCUUAAGACUAAUAAAGGCACAACAACAGAUGGGAAUGAUCAAAUUGUCAGUUUUAUUUUACGAGUCAUCAAAUGUUUUAAGAAAUGAAUCGAUUUCUGUGUGUUUCAGAUAUUGUUAGAUAUUUGGCAGCCAUAACAGAAAGCGUUCUAACUGAAAGAUGUGGUUCAUGUAUCUCAACAAUGUAAUGCUCCAGUAAACAAUGACAACUCUGCUCCACUAAAAGCUUGACCAACAUUGAUCUUUUGUCAGUAGAAGGGAUGAAGUGACACAACUCAAUAUUAGGUAAUUUAUUUAUUUUUAUUCGUGAAGAAUAAAGAGGUCACAUCAUGUUUACGUACUUUCACUGAGGCGUGAGUGGUGAUGAUGCAUCGCAACAAAAACUUGUAUUUCUAGUCAAUGGCCUUAAUCAGAGUAGAAUGAACAGCUCCAGUAUGUAUA